rnacentral:rRNA from 1 species
GACGAACGCUGGCGGCGUGCUUAACACAUGCAAGUCGAACGGAAAGGCCCUGCUUUUGUGGGGUGCUCGAGUGUCGAACGGGUGAGUAACACGUGAGUAACCUGCCCUUGACUUUGGGAUAACUUCAGGAAACUGGGGCUAAUACCGGAUAGGAGCUCCUGCUGCAUGGUGGGGGUUGUAAAGUUUCGGCGGUUGGGGAUGGACUCGCGGCUUAUCAGCUUGUUGGUGGGGUAGUGGCUUACCAAGGCUUUGACGGGUAGCCGGCCUGAGAGGGUGACCGGCCACAUUGGGACUGAGAUACGGCCCAGACUCCUACGGGAGGCAGGAGUGGGGAAUAUUGCACAAUGGGCGGAAGCCUGAUGCAGCAACGCCGCGUGCGGGAUGACGGCCUGCGGGUUGUAAACCGCUGUCGCCUGUGACGAAGCGUGAGUGACGGUAAUGGGUAAAGAAGCACCGGCUAACUACGUG